AAAAAAUCCUCCCAUGAAUUUCCAUAACGAUCCGUAAUCAAUGUAAUGUGGUCUCUUAUCUCCGGUAUCGUGGCAAGUCCAAAUAGUGCAACCAUUUUCUUCUCAGAAACCCGAUUUAAUUCCAUUUCACGAACAUAACAUCUUAAAUACCUUGAAAUAUUCCUCCCAUCAAAUUGAUCAAUUUUAUUGACCACUGCUUGCAAUGCUUU
rnacentral:lncRNA from 1 species